rnacentral:rRNA from 1 species
GACGAACGCUGGCGGCGUGCCUAAUACAUGCAAGUCGAGCGGAAAUUUUAUUGGUGCUUGCACCUUUAAAAUUUUAGCGGCGGACGGGUGAGUAACACGUGGGUAACCUACCUUAUAGAUUGGGAUAACUCCGGGAAACCGGGGCUAAUACCGAAUAAUACUUUUUAACACAUGUUUGAAAGUUGAAAGACGGUUUCGGCUGUCACUAUAAGAUGGACCCGCGGCGCAUUAGCUAGUUGGUGAGGUAACGGCUCACCAAGGCAACGAUGCGUAGCCGACCUGAGAGGGUGAUCGGCCACACUGGGACUGAGACACGGCCCAGACUCCUACGGGAGGCAGCAGUAGGGAAUCUUCCACAAUGGACGAAAGUCUGAUGGAGCAACGCCGCGUGAGUGAA